rnacentral:lncRNA from 1 species
AUGCUUGAUAUUGCUGCAGUUCCCUGGUUCUGGAUUUGGUCUCCCAAUUAUAAACCCCUGUUAAAUCAGAAAAAUGGUAUUUCUCCUUUAGCAAAUGUUAAUAAAAUUUUAAGGAUGUACUCUACUUGCAGAUCUUUUCUCGGGGCAAUUCCCACCAACCAAGGUGGGGAGAAGAGCAAGGACUGUGUGCGAGACAUCCUUCUUCCGAUGCUGUUGGAGGAAGCAGCAGUCCGUGCAGCUCAGACCCACGGCACGGCUGGGGCUGGGGGGCACCUCUGGAGACCGUCCAGCCCUGCUCCAGCAGGUCGCCUUGAGCAAGUUGCCCAGCACUGUGUCCAGCCGCAUUGGGAAUAUUUCCAGGGAUGGAGAUGCUACAACCUCUCUGGGCAACCUGUGCUGGUGUCUGACCACCCUCACAGUAAAAAAGCUUUUUCUGUUGUUUAGCCUGUAUUUCAGCUUGUGCCCAUUGCCUCUGGUCCUGUCGCUG